rnacentral:rRNA from 1 species
AGUGAACGCUGGCGGCAUGCCUAAUACAUGCAAGUCGAACGACCGCACAGGAAGAUUUUUCCUUUGCGGUUGGCGAGUGACGGACGGGUAACACGUACAUCGCCUUCUUCUUUGUCUGGGGUAAUUACGUGGGGACAGAGACACUAAUACCUCAUAUUACGUACCGGUUAAAUCAAUAGUUCUUCGUACCUUUCGCAAUUGUUUUAGCUGAUGUUGCGCCGUAUUAGUUAGUUGGUAAGGUAACGGCUCACCAAGGCGACGAUACGUAGCCGACCUGAGAGGAUGAUCAGCCACACUGGAACUGAGACACGGUCCAGACUCCUACGGGAGGCAGCAGUAGGGAAUAUUGCACAAUGGGCGAAAGCCUGAUGGAGCAACACCGCGUGAGUGAAGAAGGUCUUCGGGUUGUAAAACUCUUUUGUUAGGAAAGAAAAGCAGUAGAAUAAACUCUCGAUGUUCUGACGGUACCCAAAGAAAAAGCAACGGCUAACUUCGUG